rnacentral:lncRNA from 1 species
AUGAUUGUUAAUCAUUUCAAGAAUACCAUGGGAUUGUGUAAAAUUGGAAGUCGCUAUGUGCUAAUAGAACAUGAAUCGUCACAAAGCUGCUCAGUGCCUAGACCUCCUCUGCUCCGAUCUGGGCUGAACCCAGAAGACAUCCAGGACUUUGAGUCCUCUGCCGCAGAAGGAGGCUGUUUGUGUCCAGGGCAAUGCCUCCCCACUCCACACGGCCCCCGGAAGGGUGGACAUGGGGUCUCAGUGCUCCUGCUUUGGGGUGCAGUCUUCACAGCCAGCUCUCUACCGGGGUCCCUCAGCAACGGUAAGAGGCUGAAGACCCCGGCCCCACCCAUGCCUCGCGGUGUUUACAGAGAUAAAGUGACGAAAGAGAGGAGAGCACAGAGCACAGGGCAGGUCCAGAAGCCUGCAGGUCAGCACAGCACGCCUGGACUGUGGCCCCUUCUCUGCUGGGCCGGCUCUGGGUUGCAGGGACAUCCUGUUCCCCUUGCUGUUAGGGACGAGCUCAACCCCCGCCCCCCACCCCGCGUCCCCUCUGUGUCUUCACUGAUGAGAACAUCCAAAGCCGACUUCCAGGAGGAAAGCGUCUCUCCUCGCGAGAUUCUGGGAUGUAGAACCUUUAGUGCAAGACAUUAAGUUACUCUUGGGGAAAAUGAGCCUCCGUACCUCUGUCACUUUCAGGCUUCUGCUUCUAAUGGCCACGCACGACUGUUCCCUCCUUAAACACUAACUCCCCGUGCAAUUAAUUUCAGCUGCCCGUGUCUCACGAAAGCUAAAACGAUUUCAAUGCAUUAUUUAAAAGUCAUCAUGGUAAGUAAUGACAACCGCACCGGCUCCUUUCGUAAAUAUACUUCGGAGGCCGCUAUUCUGCAGAUGAACUUUCGCGUUGCUGUGUCAUUUGCAGUGCGCUCGGAUGCCGCGUCCAUCACGUAAAAAAAAAUGCUGUUAAAAAUAAUAUCUGCAGGGGCGCCUGGGUGGCUCAGUCGGUUAAGCGUCCGACCUGAGUUCAGGUCACAAUGGUGAGUUCGAGCCCCGUGUGAGGCUGUCUGCUGUCAGCACAGGGCCUGCUUCGGAUCCUCUGUCCCCGUCCCCAUCUCUCGCUGCCCCUCCCCCGCUCAAAGAUAAACAGCAAAAAUAAUAAUAAUAAUAAUGUCUGCAAAUAAUCGUGACACCUGUUAUGCUGGGGACGCUCCCCCAGGUGGGUGUGCCGGGAAGACUUGGAACGUGAUUCUUGUCCUCAGAUGGCUGACAUUCUAGGGGGCGAAGCAAGGGGAAGGUAUCACGUUGGCGCUGAACUCCGGUGUGAAACGUCCCCCAGUUUGACCAAACGGAAAGUCAUGAAUUCAACCAAGUUCACGUUUUCCAUGCCCCUCCAGCCUGGGAGUAAAAGCAUGGCACUCUGUCUCAGUGCGUGUCAUCAGAAGACGCCCAGUCCCCCCCUCGAUCUCCCUCUCUUGCUCUUUCUGAGAUUUCCUUUGGAGGCGAGCUGAUACGACUGUGCUAACUGCUCUGUUUUCUCCUUCCUUCCAC